CACUCAUGGUUGUCUUCAUGUUGUAUAAAUCUUUCGCCUUUUACUAAAGAUUUCCGUGGGGAGGAACAACAUGAGUCUAGAGUAAUUUUUUGAUUCCCUGUUAACAGGUCU